rnacentral:tRNA from 1 species
GGGCAGGUGAUCUGAUUGGUAAUAGUGAUUAUCUGUAAAAUAAUUGGUUAACGCCGUAAAAGGUUCGAUUCCUUUACUGCUCA